AUAGAGGCUGGUACAUUUGUGGAAAGGAAAGCAGGUUGUGACACAGGGAUAUAAAAGAGACAGUCCUGAGUCAUCCAGCCCAGUCCUCUGACAUCAGCAGCAAACAAGUCAGGUAGGUCCUUUUCAUAAACUCAUCAAGCAUGCAACUGUUUGGCAGCCUUGUUGUCCAAAGAACUCUGUCCUGUUCUGAUAAAGCUGAAUGCAGUGCAAUCUAGUUUAUUUAGGGAUGGCAAACUGCUCAUGUAGCAUGGUUUGAGAGCUCCAGGAAAUUAAGAAGUCAGACGGAAGCAAAUUUGUACAGUGCAAAUGCAUCCUUCCACAAUUCUGCAUAUCACCACAACAGUUCUUAACGUGGAUUUUCUUAGCAAACAACAUAUGCAAAGAUAAUAACCACCCUGCUGAUACUGGCAGAUAUCCUCCUUUCUGAUGGACUCAGUUUCAUUCACAUGCCCAGCAGGGGGGAAAGGAUUAUUUUAGCAUACUUAUUUUCUUUCCUGGUUCACAUCAUUCGCUGAGUAUGUACAAAUCGGAAGAAUGCCAAAUUGUUUACAAAAGAUCUGAGGUGAUUUGAGCCAAAAGUAUCAGUCCAAGUGCCCUUAAACUUUAGGGGUUUUCUGAUGUGGCUUUGACUCCAAAAGCUGUGACUCAGCCCCGUCUCUGCACCAGAGUGAGCGCCAAAAAGAAUAUUAAGGACAAAAGCCCCGUUCUCAGUUGUACUAUGAGCUCCCAAUGAAUGCAAGACAUGAGAAAUCACCCUGACUCUGUCAGCGUAAAGCUUCCAAGUCACAGGUUCCUAUUCCCUGGAAAGAGCUGGAUAACCUGGAGUUUGGCACUUGUGACUCACCCAUGAGAUGAUGGAGAGGGAGGUAUUUCACAUGGUAUGCAUAGAAACCACCCUUCUAGGCCAGCUGAAAAGGAACAGUUUUCCAUUGCAAGAAAGACAGCUUCAUGGGGACAGAAAAGAAGGGGAGUAAGAGUUAACAUGGCCUCAAAGCAUGACCAAGAGGAGACCAAAAUCACAGACUACAGUUCUUGCUCUAAGAACUGCUUACACUUCUACUGAUGAGAGUUUAAUGGAAAGUACAUUGACCUAGCCUAACUGCUCCUGUUCCCAUGCUUGUUAAAAAUAAAUAAAAUAAAAUAAAG
rnacentral:lncRNA from 1 species